UACGGAGGGUGCAAGCGUUGUCCGGAUUUAUUGGGUUUAAAGGGUGCGUAGGUGGCCUAUUAAGUCAGUGUUUAAAGUCAACAGCUUAACUGUUGGAAUGGCAUUGAUACUGAUAGGCUUGAGUAAAGUUGAGGUAGGCGGAAUUGAAGGUGUAGCGGUGAAAUGCAUAGAUAUCUUCAAGAACACCGAUUGCGAAGGCAGCUUACUAAGCUUUAACUGACACUGAUGCACGAAAGCGUGGGGAUCAAACAGG
rnacentral:misc_RNA from 1 species